rnacentral:rRNA from 1 species
CCUACGGGGGGCAGCAGUGGGGAAUAUUGCGCACUGGGCGAAAGCCUGAAGCAGCGACGCCGCGUGAGGGAUGAAGGUCUUCGGAUCGUAAACCUCUGUCAGCAGGGAAGCACGGUCACUGUGCUAAUCAGCAGUGAAUUGACGGUACCUGCAAAGGACGCACCGGCUAACUCCGUGCGAGCAGCUGCAGUAAUACGGAGGGUGCGAGCGUUAAUCGGUAUUAAUGGGCGUAAACCGCUCGUGGGCGGUAUGUCAAGUCAAGGGUGAAAUCCCCGCGCUCAACGUGGGAACGGCCUUUGAAACUGGCAAACUGGAGUGUGUUGGAGGAUAGUGGAAUUCCAGGUGUAGGGGUGAAAU